rnacentral:rRNA from 1 species
UACGAAGGGGGCUAGCGUUGCUCGGAAUCACUGGGCGUAAAGGGUGCGUAGGCGGGUCUUUUAAGUCAGGGGUGAAAUCCUGGAGCUCAACUCCAGAACUGCCUUUGAUACUGAAGAUCUUGAGUUCGGGAGAGGUGAGUGGAACUGCGAGUGUAGAGGUGAAAUUCGUAGAUAUUCGCAAGAACACCCGUGGCUAAGGCGGCUACUCUAGUACGGUACUGACGCUGAGACGGCGAAAGCGUGGGGAGCGAACAGG